GGAGGAUUGGCAGAUAAUGAUCACCUGCUCUCACCAGACAGUCUGUCUGUCUCCCCUCGACUGAUAUGGAAACACAGAUCUCCAAAAGAGUCAUCAUCUAGUGGAAAAGCAAAGAUGGUGACUACAGAGAUGCACUAGUCCAGAACACAGACUCUGCUUAACAGAUCAGGCAGCUCAACACCUUUACUUCUCGUCUUCCUGCGUACUGACAUGGUUGGAAAGGUUGAAAAGUUGAAAGGUUAUGAGAUACUCUGAGUUCCCUGUUCAGUUCACGAUGCCACUGACCCAUGCCUCCUCCUCCCACAAUGCAUCUCUUUGUAACGCUCCACAUGAUGGCCUGUCAACCAGCCCUGUGCCAGUGUGGCCCUGCAGCCCACAUCCCCAGUAAACCACUCCUGAUUCCAGCGUCCACUAUUGUUCGAACAGGCUGCAUGAAGUGAGGUUAUCACACUUCCAAGUCACAGAAGAUGAUACAUGUUGGUAAGUGUAACCACCAUUUUCUCCAAACAUCAUUAAAGUCAUUAUCAGUCAUGGAUGAGUACUUGACGGGAUGCUGACAGGUUUAAAAUAAAAUAACAGCGUUGCACCCUG